rnacentral:rRNA from 1 species
GAUGAACGCUGGCGGCGUGCCUAAUACAUGCAAGUCGAGCGAAUGAAGAGGAGCUUGCUCCUCUGAUUUAGCGGCGGACGGGUGAGUAACACGUGGGUAAUCUGCCUGUAAGACGGGGAUAACUCCGGGAAACCGGGGCUAAUACCGGAUAAUAAGAAGAAACGCAUGUUUCUUUUUUGAAAGUCGGUUUCGGCUGACACUUACAGUUGAGCCCGCGGCGCCUUAGCUAGUUGGUGAGGUAACGGCUCACCAAGGCGACGAUGCGUAGCCGACCGGAGAGGAUGAUCGGCCACACUGGGACAGAGACACGGCCCAGACUCCUACGGGAGGCAGCAGUAGGGAAUCUUCGGCAAUGGGCGAAAGCCUGACCGAGCAACGCCGCGUGAGCGAUGAAGGCCUUCGGGUCGUAAAGCUCUGUUGUUAGAGAAGAACAAGUACGAGAGUAACUGCUCGUACCUUGACGGUACCUAACCAGAAAGCCACGGCUAACUACGUGCCAGCCGCCGCGGUAA